UCCUGACCUCAUGAUCCACCCGCCUCAGCCUCCCAAAGUGCUGGGAUUACAAGCGUGAGCCACCGUGCCCGGCCGCAAGUAUAAUGUUUUGCUAAGUUCUGCUGGAGUGCAGUGGCGUGACCUCGGCUCACUGCAACCUCUGCCUCCUGGGUUCAAGUGAUUCUCCUGCCUCAGCCUCCCAAGUAGCUGGGAUUACAGGCUCUCGUUUCCUGAUACUUGGGUGAAGAACAAGUAGGAGGUCUGGAGGCUCAAACUGAUAGGUCUUGCCGUCUCUAAGCUGGACCUGGUGACCUUUUUGGAGGGAAAGAAAGAGCCCUGGACUGUGAAGAGUGAGGAGACCAUAGCUGCACAGCCAGUCCAGAUGUAUAAUCUCAUCCCUGAACAUGUCUGACGGUGUGAUUAUGACAUGUGACUUUAUCCAGCAACAGAGUGAGUUGAUGCUCCGGCCUGAGCCCAGCCCACAGAAAGGAUUGUGACAUAUCGUUGGAUCCAGAAUUGAGGUAAUGUAACUCUUCUACUGCCUUGGCACUGCCCACAGAAGACAUUGUGACAUAUCGCUGGGUCUUGUACCCAGGUGGUGUGAAUCUUCUCUUCUGCCUUGGCUCUUCCACAGGGGGCAUUGUGUCAUAUCGCUGGGCCCCACACAUAGGUUAUGUGACUCUUCUGCCUGUGCCCUGCCCAUGUGGCCCAUUGUGACAUACUGUUGGGGCCAAAACCUAGGUGAUGUAACUCUACUGCUUAGGCCCUGCCUACAGAGGACAUUGUGACAUAUCCCUGCAUCCAUCACACAGGUAGUGCAGCUCUCUUCUGCUUGGCCCCUACUCACAGAAAGGAUUUUGACGUAUCACAGGGCUCAGCACCUAGCUAACGUGACUUUUCUCCUCUUCCUAGGUUUUUGCCCACAGGGGAUAUUGUGACAUGUCACUGGGCCUAAUACUAAGGUGACAGUACUCUUGUCAUGGCACUGCCCUCAGCAGGUGUGGUGAUAUAUUACUGGGCCCAGAACAAAUGUGAUAUGAGUCUCCUGCCUGGACCCUGCCUACAAGGUGCAUUGUGACAUAUCUGGGCCCUUUGACUAUUUUAUUUUAUUUACUGUAUUAUAUUUUAUUUAUUUUAAUUU